GAUGAACGCUAGCGGGAGGCUUAACACAUGCAAGUCGAGGGGUAAGGAGAUAGCAAUAUUUCCCUAGACCGGCGCACGGGUGAGUAACGCGUAUGCAACCUGCCCUUUACAGGGGGAUAGCCCGGAGAAAUCCGGAUUAAUACCCCAUAGUAUUAUGAGUUCGCAUGGACUUAUAAUUAAAGCUGAGGCGGUAAAGGAUGGGCAUGCGUGACAUUAGCUAGUUGGCGGGGUAACGGCCCACCAAGGCCACGAUGUCUAGGGGUUCUGAGAGGAAGGUCCCCCACACUGGUACUGAGACACGGACCAGACUCCUACGGGAGGCAGCAGUGAGGAAUAUUGGUCAAUGGGCUAAAGCCUGAACCAGCCAUCCCGCGUGCAGGAAGAAGGCCCUAUGGGUUGUAAACUGCUUUUGUGCAGGAAUAAAUGUACCCUCGUGAGGGUAUUUGAAGGUAUUGCCAGAAUAAGCACCGGCUAACUCCGUGCCAGCAGCCGCGGUAAUACGGAGGGUGCAAGCGUUAUCCGGAUUUAUUGGGUUUAAAGGGUGCGUAGGCGGUAUUUUAAGUCAGUGGUGAAAACCUGCAGCUUAACUGUAGAAUUGCCAUUGAAACUGAAGUACUUGAGUUAUCUUGAGGUAGGCGGAAUGUGUAGUGUAGCGGUGAAAUGCUUAGAUAUUACAC
rnacentral:rRNA from 2 species